ensembl:lncRNA novel transcript
CUUUGUCUCUUGCUCCAGCCAGAGCUCGAGGUUAGCUCUUCACUGCCCUGUGUCUUCUUUCCAAGGGUCUCGGUGAUUCGGCCACAGCCUCAGCCUCCAUCACGCGGUGAACUGAUGGUGCUGGAAGAUUCAUAGACUCCAGGACAUUCCUGAAGCCGAGAAAAGGUUAAGUAGGGUCUGGCCUGGAAUACUCUCCUAGAUGAAGAUAGCCCAACCAUGAGCCACCUUCGAAGCAGAUGAGAUGAAAUUAAAGCUCUUCAACUCCUAAAGGCCCAGAGACUAUCACAAAAGAGGUCAGAAAUCCUGAAGGUCACUUUCUGACAAACUCAGGAACCCCAGGUUUAUCUUGGAGCCUCAAGAGGAGAUAAAUUCACCCAACUCAGGCUGGAGUGCAGUGGAAUGAUCUUGGCUCACUUCCGUCUCCGCCUUCCAGUUUCAAGUGAUUCUCCUGCCUCAGCCUACUGAGUAGUUGGGAUUACAGGUGCCUGCCACCACACCCAGCUAAUUUUUGUAUUUUUAGUAAAGAUGGGGUUUCACCAUGUUGGCCAGGCUGGUCUCAAACUCCUGACGUCAUGAUCUGCCCGCUUCAGUCUCCCAAAGUGUGAUUACAGGUGUGAGCCACCAUGCCUGGCAAGGCAUUCUUUUUUAUUAGGGGGGUGUUGUUUAUUACCUCUUCUAUAGAAAAGUAAAGACAUUAAAAUGUAAGAUGCAUAAUAAAAAUCUAAGUGGAGAGGCUCUUAUAACCUAUAAUAUUGAGUGAUGCAUCAGGUAGGUGUUCAGAGUAAUCUGCAUUAUCAUGAGAAGAAAACAUGUUUAAUUUUAUUUAAAAUUAAAUGAGUAGUAUAUUAUUGUACUAAUUGUACUAAUUUUUUCUGAGACAGAGUUUUGCUCUUGGUGCCCAGGCUGGAGUGCAUUGGCACGAUCUCUGGCUCACUGUGACCUCUGCCUCCCAGAUUCAAGUGAUUCUCCUGCCUCAGCCUCCUGAGUAGCUGGGAUUACGGGCAUGUGCCCCCAUGCCUGGCUAAUUUUGAAUUUUUAGUAGAAACAGGGUUUCUCCAUGUUGGUCAGGCUGGUCUUGAACUGCCAACCUCAGGUGAUCUGCCCACUUUGGCCUCCCAAAGUGCUGGGAUUACAGGCAUGAGCCACCGAGCCUGGCCUGAUUGUACUUUUAUAUAAUAAAAUGCAGUACAUUUAUAAAUUUUAGAUUAUGUGUGAAGUUAAUAGUUUAAUUCAACAUUUUUAACAUGUUAAAUACUAUUGUGCAUUCAAUGAAGCGUUAUUAUGCCACAAACUUUAACCUCUUUCACCUUACUCAAGGGUAUAGGUAAAAGAUGGUAACAAUAUACUGUUUAGUAAGAUAAUAGAUUAACAUCUCUAGUGAUUUUUUUUUUUUGCCAGUGGCUUUCAACUGCAAAUAAGUUAAAGAAUAUUGUUUCUGUAGGUAAAUUUUUAUUCUGUUUUUAAUCAUUUAAAUUUAUUUUAAUUUUGGUGGCUGCAUGAGUAUCUAUGCAAUAUAUGGCAUGUUUUAAUACAGGAAUACAAUAUAUAAUAAUAAUAUCAGCAUUAAGUGAGGCAUCCUUCACCUGUAGCAUUUAUCCUAUGUUUUAUAAUCCAAUUCUACACUUUUUUUUAAAUUUAAAAUGUACAAUUAAAUUGUUAUUUACUACAGGGUUAUUUUUAUGGUCAUAAUAAAAAUUAUAUAUGAGUAUAAAUAAAAUUCAUUGUUAAAUUCUUAA